ACGUGCGCGUCACCAAGCGCGGCGGCCAGUUCUUGGUGCGGGCUGUGCCGCGUGUGGGCGAGCCCGAAUACAAGGUGGCCCGGCACGUAAUGCGCAAGCCAGCCAGUGGCGACGAUGGGGACAGCGGGGACAGCCCGGCCGCUCCGGAGGCGGUGCAGCGUGGCCGCCUCAAGAAAAAGCAAGGACCAAGAUGAGCAUCUCAGCGCGCCUGCGAGUCUGUCGAUCCCCGCUCGCCGUCCCUGCUUUUGAUUUCCCUGGAGUUAUUGCUGAACCGUGCUGGGAGAGAAAGGUGUUCGGUCCAGAGGGUCUUGAAGCGAAAGCAGCAUCUCUCUCCCUUCUUAGCCCUCCGUGUGGGUCCCACUCGCCUUUUUCUCUCCCUUGCACCACAACUCCCCUCUUUACAAAGCUGAGGGAGCCAAGCAAUUCCCAGCUUGGAAACGGAAGUAAAUAAAUGAGCGACGUCCAGCAUCCAAUACAAGAUAAAGAAGCGGGCAUUUUGCCAUCUGUGUGAUUAAAGUCUUUACUCUGUAUGUAGCCUGACCCCUGGGCCUGCUCUUAAGCAGCAGCUCUACAGUAUGCAGUGGACAAUCUUCUAGAAUCGCCUGCCUGGACUUACUAUCCAAACGUCAUCUGAAGGCCUAUGAUAGUUCUGGAGUGUGGGAAAUGUCUCCUGUAAGCUAGGUUUAGAGCUAGUUCUGACAUUUUUCUAGCCGUGUGUCGUCCUUAGCCUUUCUGAACCCCUUAGCUAUCACAUCUGUAAAACACAUAAAGUUAGGUGUUCAAAGGAA